rnacentral:hammerhead_ribozyme from 1 species
AUCCAGCUGACCACGACUCCCAAAUAGGACGAAAUGCGCAUCCUGGAU